GUUAGGUUAGCGUAGGUUAGCGCGUUCGGCUGUUAACCAAAAGGUUGGUGGUUCAAGCCCACCAAGGGACG
rnacentral:tRNA from 1 species